AUUGAACGCUAGCGGGAUGCUUUACACAUGCAAGUCGAACGAGUGGCGGACGGGUGAGUAAUAUAUCGGGACGUUCCCAGUAGCGGGGGAUAACUACUCGAAAGAGUGGCUAAUACACCAUACUAUUGGAGCUGCCCAUUUGGGAUUAGCUAGUUGGUGGGGUAAAGGCUCACCAAGGCAACGAUCCGUAGCUGGUUUGAGAGGACGACCAGCCACACUGGAACUGAGACACGGCCCAGACUCCUACGGGAGGAAGCAGUGGGGAAUUUUGGACAAUGGGGGAAACCCUGAUACAGCCAUCCCGCGUGUAUGAGAAGGCCUUCGGGUUGUAAAGUACUUUUGGCGGAGAAGCGGUAUCUGCAGAAUAAGCACCGGCUAACUACGUGCCAGCAGCCGCGGUAAUAC
rnacentral:rRNA from 1 species